GAAAGUAAGAUUAAUACCCGGCGGUCUCGGAUGGCCGCAUGACUGUCCGAGUGAAGAUUUAUCGGUAUGAGAUGGCGAUGCGUCCCAUUAGCUUGUUGGUGAGGUAACGGCUCACCAAGGCAUCGAUGGGUAGGGGUUCUGAGAGGAAGGUCCCCCACAUUGGAACUGAGACACGGUCCAAACUCCUACGGGAGGCAGCAGUGAGGAAUAUUGGUCAAUGGACGAAAGUCUGAACCAGCCGAGUAGCGUGCAGGAUGACGGCCCUCUGGGUUGUAAACUGCUUUUAGUUGGGAAUAAAAAGAGGGACGUGUCCCUUAUUGUAUGUACCAUCAGAAAAAGGACCGGCUAAUUCCGUGCCAGCAGCCGCGGUAAUACGGAAGGUCCAGGCGUUAUCCGGAUUUAUUGGGUUUAAAGGGAGCGCAGGCGGCGGCGUAAGUCAGUUGUGAAAUCGUGCGGCUUAACCGUGCAAUUGCAGUUGAUACUGCGUCGCUUGAGUGCACACAGGGAUGUUGGAAUUCAUGGUGUAGCGGUGAAAUGCUUAGAUAUCAUGAAGAACUCCGAUCGCGAAGGCAUAUGUCCGGAGUGCAACUGACGCUGAGGCUCGAAAGUGUGGGUAUCAAACAGGAUUAGAUACCCUGGUAGUCCACACAGUAAACGAUGAAUACUCGCGGUUGGUUCGUUAGAAUCAGCCGC
rnacentral:rRNA from 1 species